UCNAUCUAGGACUCUCUAAGGAGUUAAUUAAGCCAAGAGAGGAAGAAUUUGGUUCAGAAAUGUCUUUACAGAUGGAGUUGGCUCUCGCUGGACAGGUUGAUUUGGAAAAUGCCCUUGAGGCUGCUAUCCUUGGCCUCCAACACGAGCUUCAUCUAGAGGAUGAUGUCUUCCUUAGGGAGGCUGUUCAAGUACGAUGGUUGGAGACCGAUGAGUCGUUAAUGACGGAAUCCAGCUACAGCGAGGCCGCUCUUGUUUUCAUUAUUCAGGUUAAA